CCAUGGUUUCACAGAAGAUAUCGCAGCAUUUAUCUCCUCCUCAACCAAUAGUUUUGGAGCAUAAGAUAAAGCUUUCAGGAAACAGUCCAGCUGGAACUGCAUGCUAUGAUGUGGUGGUGGAUGUCCCCUUCCCAAUACAGAGGGAAUUGAAUGCUCUGUUGGCCAAUGCGGAGAAGAACAAAGAGAUUGAAACCUGUGAUGAAGCAAUAUGUGC
rnacentral:misc_RNA from 1 species